AAUAAAAAAGAAAAUAGGUUUCUUCCUGUUUCUUUCUUGGCAUGGAAACACAGCUUUGAGAAGAGAAGGCCAUGAGUCCUGGGAGCACUAGGAAGGUAGCUAAACUCUCCGUACCCUAUAGAACUACAGUCAGUGACUGGGGAAAGGGGAGCGGACAGGGAAACUUACCUAGCCACUAGCAUCAAAAA